rnacentral:lncRNA from 1 species
GGGAAACAUGUUUUCACCAGUUUUCUCUGUCUUACAAACAGGAUGAGAAGAGUCAAUUGAUUUUUUUUUCCUCUGCUGCUAACUCUAGAAAUGGGAGGGAAGGGAAGAGUCGGGGUGCAUGGAGCUGCAGGAUGAGAGUCUUCCAUGGGAAUAUCAGAGCCUUAAAAGCCCCCUGCCCUCCUGAAGGCAGUGGGAGGGGGUCCAGCACUAUCCUCCCUGUGUGCCCCGUCAGCUGUGCCCCUCAUGAAUCCUGGCUGCGUGGGGAUACUGGUGCAAAGGCUCCCAACAGUCCCCUGCUGACAUUCCCCCAUCAAUCCCAAUAAAACCUAACUCUGUCCCUGCACAGCGAGUGGGAAUGGGAGCACCAGGACAUGGUCUCCAGCAGACACGGAGAAGUGUGUAUUGCUGGGUAAGGUUUUCCUCUCCCACCUGUAACAGCAGAGGUAAGUCGAGAUGCAGAAACUAGAACAAGUCUUGGAUGGAAAAGUAACGCAUUGAAGCCUUGGGGCGCUGCCUUUGAAAGGUGCUUUAAGCCUCGCACUGUUAAUGCUAAUCCUGUAACACUAUAUAGAUGGCUUUUUUUCUGCACUUACACAAAGGAGGAAGGGGCUCAAUUCUUUGAGGCUUGUAUUUUUUUUUCCCUUCAGCAAAAAGCAAUGCUGAGCAGAGCGGCUGUGGGCAGCUGACAUCACAGCCGAACCCAGCGAGGGGCUGGGAAGGAAGGGGCUUCUCCCCAUCUCUGGGCCCGAAUCCGAUCUCAGAUUAGUGUGCUGUUAUCAAGAGGCACCAGGAUUGCAACCUUACACUCCUCCAGCCCCGAACCAGCAUUGGAGAAAUCACACUUUCAGUUGGGAGAGCACCAGGACGGGGACAUUGCUGCACUCCUCUGCAAGAGUUGGCCAAGAGCACCGGCAUGAGCUCUGCACUGACAUAGGAGUGCUGUCCUACAAAACUGGGCUACAACUUGAGACCGCGUUGCUCCUGACGUCUGCAAAGCAGGAUGAACACGCGAUCGUUGCUCAGCACCUGGGCAGCCCUGCUGGUGGUAACUGUGCGGCACCAAGGUCAGUACUGCUCCCCUGUGCCCCAAAACUGCCCCAAAAAACAUCCCCUUUCCCUUGGUCAGAGUGUAACAGCAAACAGUGUUUCCGUGGGUCUGGAGGGGUGGGAGCACAGGCGCUAAUUGUGCGGUGGUGACAGAGUGCACUGUGGCAAUGAACCUCCUGCCCGCACAAAUGGCUCCCUCAUUGGGAGCAGUGAAGCAAGGAUAGUUCAGGUUAAAUGAGGAGCUGCUGUGCUGCUG